UAGGGAAUCUUCCGCAAUGGGCGAAAGCCUGACGGAGCAACGCCGCGUGAGUGAUGAAGGUCUUCGGAUCGUAAAACUCUGUUAUUAGGGAAGAACAUAUGUGUAAGUAACUGUGCACAUCUUGACGGUACCUAAUCAGAAAGCCACGGCUAACUACGUGCCAGCAGCCGCGGUAAUACGUAGGUGGCAAGCGUUAUCCGGAAUUAUUGGGCGUAAAGCGCGCGUAGGCGGUUUUUUAAGUCUGAUGCGAAAGCCCACGGCUCAACCGUGGAGGGUCAUUGGAAACUGGAAAACUUGAGUGCAGAAGAGGAAAGUGGAAUUCCAUGUGUAGCGGUGAAAUGCGCAGAGAUAUGGAGGAACACCAGUGGCGAAGGCGACUUUCUGGUCUGUAACUGACGCUGAUGUGCGAAAGCGUGGGGAUCAAACAGGAUUAGAUACCCUGGUAGUCCACGCCGUAAACGAUGAGUGCUAAGUGUUAGGGGGUUUCCGCCCCUUAGUGCUGCAGCUAACGCAUUAAGCACUCCGCCUGGGGAGUACGACCGCAAGGUUG
rnacentral:rRNA from 1 species